rnacentral:snoRNA from 1 species
GAGUUGUUAUGAGAUUUAGAGAUUGUCAUGCACCACUCUUAAAAUUUAAUUAGAGUGAUAAUAAAUUUCUUAUAGCCAUUUUAUUUUUGAGAUC